GGUCAACCCGUCCAUCCCCCUGCCUCCGGGCACAACCGCCAACGCCUCAGGAAAAGGGCCCCGCCCAUUACGCGCCCCCUUUCUGAGGAAAAGAGGGGUCCCCUCGGUUUGUAAACCGAGUGGGGUCCACCUGAUUUGUGAGGAAAUGGAGUCCGAUCAUUUUUCCUGAUCAUGCAGCACAUCAGAAUUUGUGAGUGAUUCAUUUUGGAGAGG